rnacentral:rRNA from 1 species
AGGAAACAGCUAUGACCAUGAUUACGCCAAGCUUGGUACCGAGCUCGGAUCCACUAGUAACGGCCGCCAGUGUGCUGGAAUUCGCCCUUCAGGCCUAACACAUGCAAGUCGAGCGAGAAAGGGCUUCGGCCCCAGUAAAGCGGCGCACGGGUGAGUAACACGUAGGUAAUCUACCCCUGGGUGGUGGAUAACUCUCCGAAAGGAGAGCUAAUACAGCAUGAGACCACGACACCUUCGGUUGUUGUGGCCAAAGCGGGCCUCUUCAUGAAAGCUCGUGCCUGGGGAUGAGCCUGCGGCCCAUCAGCUUGUUGGCGAGGUAAGAGCUCACCAAGGCAACGACGGGUAGCUGGUCUGAGAGGAUGAACAGCCACACUGGAACUGAGACACGGUCCAGACUCCUACGGGAGGCAGCAGUGGGGAAUCUUGCGCAAUGGGCGAAAGCCUGACGCAGCGACGCCGCGUGAGCGAUGAAGGCCCUCGGGUCGUAAAGCUCUGUGGGGAGGAAAGAAUAAGGACAGGCGAAUACCCUG